CACAUCAGUUGCUGUCUCUAUAAUAUUUCACAUCAGCAAGCCUCAACCCUCCUUCAACCGAUCCUCUUCCUCUUUCAAAACCGUUUCCAAAUUGUUUCUCCACUUCAAUGGCGGUUAUAAAAUUGAAGCAUCAAAACCACCCUCUCACAAUCCACAAUCCAUUUUCUCUUUCUCUUUCUCACUCGGGUCUCUCCACUUCAAUGGCGGUUAUGAAAUUGAAGCAUCAAAACCACCCUCUCACAAUCCACAAUCCAUUUUCUCUUUCUCUUUCUCACUCGGGUCUCUCCACCGUCAUUGCCAAACCUAACGGCGCCUCAGAUGACUAUCUUUCGUCAUCUCUUGGCCAUUGGCAGAAUUGAGGUUGGGACUGGUUGGAACCGUCAAGGAAGAAAGACUAAGAAACCUACGACAACGACUAGAAGUCCCUUUUGAUGGUUCUAAAACAGAGCACCAAGAAGCUCUUUUACUAUUGUAGAGAUUGGCUUAUCUUGAUAGGGAGCGUCCUUCACUUAAAUCAGAUCUUUGGAAGGAAAUGGGAUGGCAAGGUUCAGACCCUUCAACAGAUUUUAGGUGUGUGAUCAAAAGCUAUAUGUUUUGCUUUAACGAGAUGGGGUAGGGGCAUGAAUAUGAAUAGGGUUUUAAUCAGCUAUAGAUUAGAUACUCAAAAUACUAUAAGACUAUUAAGUAAGGAUUCAUUGACUUAAUAAUGGGCGGUGACUUAAAAUAUUCUGAUCCUUAUUGGUUAGACACUCAAGGUUAAUCAAUCGUUUCCGUUUCCUUUAUUUAUUAUUCACUACGAUACUGUAUCAUCUCUUCGAUUUGUUCUUAUUGUAUUAUUGAUCGAUCGAUCGUUACACAUUGUUUUUAUGUAUUCUGAAUUUCGCUUAUUCUUCCUUCGAUUCAUCAAUUACAUCGUUUAAUUUGUGUUUUGGUUUAUGACUAACAAUUGUUCAAUUUCUGAUGUCAUCACUGCAGGAUCUAUCUGCUAUUUUUUUGUUAAGUUAUUUUGUUGUUUAAUUGGUUUAUUUGAUUGCUGUUGUUGUGAUUUUUUGAUGCUGAUUUGAUUGAUAAUUUGAAUGUCAUAAAUCGUCUUACUGAUGUGUUUUUGAUCAUUAUAUUGUUGAAUUUUGCGGAAUGAACGGGUAUCUGGACCUGUCAUGCUGGCAUAUGGUAUGAAUGGGGAUGCUAUGUUUUUCCAUUAUAUGCAGGAUACUGUGUUGGAGCUUGAGACUACCUGGUAUAUCUGAAACUGCUGCAAUUUUUACUGGGGUUGAUGUUACCAAGGAACCCAUUCCUGUUUUACCAACUGAGCAUUAUAAUAUGGGUGGUAUCCCCACUAAUUAUCAUGGAGAGUUUCUUCAAAGACACUUCUACAAAGACCAAUUGCAGGUUCUCAAGUACCCUUUUGUCCAAUUGACAAGAAGAUGCUUGAUUGUUGGUCACAUAUUGAGCCAGGAACUUUCAAAGUCCGGGGCAUAGCUUAUUUCAAGUACAUGAAGAAGGAGUUGGCUCCUAACUAUUCUGCAUAUUAUUUGUUUGGAGUUGAUGUUUUUCUUAUCUCCGCAAAAAAAUCGACCAUAUAGCUCGGUUUGUCGAACUUCCUGCUAUUAGUUCAUUAGCUAAAUUUCCACCCAUUCUUAUUGUUAAUGUUCAGGUACUUCUUACUUAACCUUAGUCAUACUCUUCCAUGCUGGAAAAAUAAAAUAAGAAAUUAUUUUUAUAUAGUGGAAUACUUUUGUUUUUCAAAGUGAGUCCACCAUAAAACAAAUUUCAUGCUCAAGUAAACAUGGAUUAGAAUUGGAUCAUCAAGAGUAUCAAAACCAUUUGCUAAAGUGAGUCAAGGGUAAUUAAGGAUAACCAUUCAGUGAAAACUGAAGGAUGCUGAUACUCUAUAGUAUUUAUCGUCAUAAGAAUACCUGACCAACAAUAUUGAACCUGAAAAAAAAAAGGAGUAAUCAUUCAACGCAAACCAGAAAAGUUUCUGUAGGAAAACAAAUCUAGCAGUGUACAUUAGAAAACAGCAUACUAGUUCCUUGACAAAAUGAUUGAACCUGAAAACAAUAGAAAAAAUCCAAUAAAUAUUCAACCUAAAUACUAUAUAUAUAUAUUACAAACAAUGUAAGUUCAAAACAAAAACAUAACACUGAUUAUAGGUACAAUAUCAAUCCCAGCUAAAGAAUUAUUGUAAAAACAUCUAAUGCUUCAAUUUAAAACCAGUGCGUAGUUUUAGAUAUAAAACCAAUAUAAACAUAAUACCUAGAAAAUCAUAUAUUAUCACUCAAAAUCAUCAAACCAAUUUUCUAUUCUAAAAACCCUAACCACAAAUUAUCUCAUUUUCAUUAUCAACACCAACAAAAUCAAAACCCUAACUUUCCCGUUCUUGAACCCAUUGCCUUACAUUCAAAAAAAUUCCGUUAUUGAACCCAUUAUCUUACAUUUAUCAAGAUUCAUACCUUUAAUCACAUUUUUCAACAGAAGAUUGAAACCCAUAAACUUAUCUCCAUUAAGAUUCCUAGAAACCUUCAUAUCUUUAGUUGACGAAGAACCUAGCUAGAAAGCAACAGAUGACACUUGAAUAACCUAAAAAAACAAAAAUGUGAUUCGUUAAAAUCAAACACGUAGAGACCAAUCUAAAGAAAAAGCAAGAAUGAAAAAUAAAGUUGCAAUUCGUAAAAUAGAAAUGAUUUUAGAAUGGAAGAAACCAUAAAUGCUUAAGGUGUUUGAGAAUCAAAAGUAGAAGAAGAAGAAGAAAGUUGAAGGUUGAGUUGAAGAAUGAGGAAUGAGAGAGGUGGUUCUGGUGAGAGAUAAUAGAGGUUGUGUGGUCUGUAUUUGCUGGGUUUCUACAGCAGAAAAGUGAGGUCUUGGGGGUAGCGAAAUACUGUACACGCCAAAAAGUGUUUGGAGUUUCAAAAAACUGUACUUUUCAGUUAACAUAUUGUUCUACAUAAACUACUAAGAUAACAUGUUUUUAAAAAUUGUACAAAAUGAAAGUAUAAUUGAGUUCAAACUAAUAGUACAUAUUGGUUGCAAAAAGUAAAUUUUGGACACAAAAUGCCCCUAAAUUGAUGAGGUGGAGGACAAAGACAAAAGGAUAAAUUAAUGUUUUCCAGAGCAUUUAAUUUUCUUAUAUUAUAGAUUAAAUGCCCGCUUCUACUAAUUAUUAUCAUAUAAUAUUUGUUCAUGUUCAGGGGAACAAAGUUGAGGAGCCUUAUGUUGUAUUAGAUUAAAUAGCAUUGACCACUCGAAUUAUCAACAACUAUGGCUAAUUCAAGAUCCAUUAUAAUAUUAUAAUGGCAAAAGCUUUUGCAUACUGUAUCUUGGUAUCAAUUAUUAAUAAUGAUAGUUUUAAGAUGAAGUCGCCAUAAUGAUUUUAGAGCAAGUACUAUUGAAUCACUAAAUUUAAGGAUUUGAAAUGGUUUUUUAUAGUGAUUGGUGACUGCAUCAACUGUCGGUGUUUUACCUUAUACGACAUUGUCUCAUUAUCAAAUCUAGCAACCAAUGCUAAAGAAACACACAAUUUUACUUGAUUUAUAUAUAAUAUAAAAUAAUUGAAAUAUUAAAAUUAAAGUUUUAACGGGUCAAUUACAUCCAAACACGAAAUAAUAUUCUAUGGAUACACACUGAUACUUAUAAGGUACGCAUAUAUGGUACUGAUAUUAACACAUUUAAUUAAAUAUUAAAUAAUAACAAGAAUAAGUUUAGAUACGAAAUAAUAUAUAUGGAUACACACGAGUA